rnacentral:lncRNA from 1 species
CUCCCCCCUCUGCCAAGCAGCCAUAGCCCCACCCUGCUUCCUCCCAGCCGACGUACCAUGAGGAACCCCCCACCAAACCCCACACCGCGCAGGCUGCGACUGGACACCCGGAGCCGCUGGGUGGCAGGGGAUGGGGCCUCUCCCCGCGAGACGGAACCGGCCCAGCCCAGACAGAGCAUGGAUGGCCUCCCUCUUGAGCUCCUGCCUCCAGCUGGCACAAGCCUGGGACGGCGUCACCAUCAGGCAGGAGCCGGCGGCCCUUGACGUGGGGGGGGACAUGACCCUGGUCGUGCUGGGCAUCCCCCAGACCCUCCUGGUCUGCAGCUGGUACCGAGGGGCAAAAGCCGGCAUCGCCGCAAACUGGAUCCUGAGCUAUGCCCCAUCGGCCACCCCCCAGAAGUUCUACGGCCCGGCACACACGGGGCGGGAGACAGUGGGGCCCGACUGCUCCCUGCACAUCACAGGGCUCAGGGGGACCGACGUUGGCAGCUACACCCUGACUGUACAGGGGCCUGGGUACAACCAGGCCAUCUCCAUGAGCAUCUCCUUCUCCGGUCAGUGUCACCCGCCUGCUGGCACGAGAAAGGCUGAGAUGCAGCCACCUCUGGGGU